rnacentral:rRNA from 1 species
CGGCGCACAUAAGACAUGCAAGUCGAACGGAAGUCGUUAUAAUGAUUUCGAAACGAACAGAGAACUUGUUCAAAGGGAGUGGACAUUGAUUUAUAACAAUGGCUUUAGUGGCGGACUGGUGAGUAACACGUAAGCAACCUGCCUAUUAGAGGGGAAUAACAGUGAGAAAUCAUUGCUAAUACCGCAUAUGCCAACAGUAUUGCAUGAUACAGUUGGGAAAGGAGCAAUCCGCUAAUAGAUGGGCUUGCGUCUGAUUAGCUAGUUGGUGGGGCAACGGCCUACCAAGGCGACGAUCAGUAGCCGGACUGAGAGGUUGAACGGCCACAUUGGGACUGAGAUACGGCCCAGACUCCUACGGGAGGCAGCAGUCGGGAAUAUUGCGCAAUGGAGGAAACUCUGACGCAGUGACGCCGCGUAUAGGAAGAAGGUUUUCGGAUUGUAAACUAUUGUCGUUAGGGAAGAAAAAAGACAGUACCUAAGGAGGAAGCUCCGGCUAACUACGUGCCAGCAGCCGCGGUAAUACGUAGGGAGCAAGCGUUAUCCGGAUUUAUUGGGUGUAA